CCAAUCACUGACGUACGCUAGCACUGUCAUCACUAGCUCACGUCGUGCUCAUUCGUUCAGACCGUCUGACGAUCGACAACGUAGGAGAUAGGUAGCUGGGCGUCGUCGGUCGCCAUGCAUCUCCGCCCGUUGUUGUCGUUAGCUUGGCUGCUCGUAGCCGCGCUCUUCCUCCUGCAGAGCUCUCCGACCAGCAGCUCGUCGUCACCUCCACCGCCACCGCCACCACCACCACCAUCAGGUGCGGCAGCUGGUGAAGAUAACGGCGGUGGUUCGGCGAUCUGGGCUGGUGUUGUGGCGGCUGAUACAGGCGGCGGCGGAGGCGAGAAAGCGGCCCAAAGACGGUCUUUGCGGCGGGUGGGUCUACACCGGACGCCGCCGCCGCCGACGUCGAACGACGGUGGGAUAGAAUCUAUUUCGCCGCCUCCGCCGCCGGAGCAGGAUGGCCAGUUUUUCAGCUCUACGGGCUAUCCGACAAGGCCGCCGCCGGCGAGCUAGGAUCGGAGUUAGUUGGCUCGGUUAAUUAACCGACAUCAAACUAGCCUUCUUCCUGGGUGAUGAGUGAUGAGGCAAUGACUCCUCUGUUGCUGUUCGUCUCCGUAGUGUGUUCGUUCGUGCGUGCGUGUCAAUUCAAUUCGACGUUACUUUCUUCCAUCUUAAUUUGGACAUCAUGUAAUAAUUAAUGUUCGUCAAGGAGAAAUAAUCAGUGUUUACAGUUUUCAUGGAUGGAUGGCCGCGAUUUAAGUUAUUCGGCA